rnacentral:pre_miRNA from 13 species
AACCACACGGGAAAAUCAUCUUCCCGUGCAGUCGGUUCAAUGGACUGCAUGGGAUAAUCGAUUAUCCCGUGCGGUC